CAGGAAUAGGACUAGAUAGAAAGUUUGGGCUGGGGCGGCACACCUUCGAAAGAGCAGCGAAGGUGUCCUAAGUUGAGCUCAGUGAGGACAGAAAUCUCACGUUGAGGAUAAGGCCAAAAGCUCAAUUUACUGUGCCUUUUUGUACUAGGAUCAGUUACGAAAGUAAGGCCUAACGAUCCCUAAAUAGCCUCAGGUGCGUGAGGAUUGGGGUGACAGACAAGUUACCUCCGGGACAACUGGCUUGUGGCUGCUAAGAGAUCAAAUCAACGCAGCUUUUUGAUUCUUCGAUGUCGGCUCUUCCUAUCCUAGUGAUGUACAAGUUGCUAAGGGUCGGAUUGUUCACCCGUAUUAGGGAUCGUGAGCUGGGUUUAGACCGUCGUGAGCCAGGUUUGUUUUAUCCUACUGGAUAUAGCAUCAUGAUAGUAGAUUGAUUUAGUACGAGAGGAACUGUUGAUUAUGGCCUCUGGUUAGCGAUUAUCGGAAACGGUAUGUCGCGCAGCUACGCCGUCUGGGAUAAUGGCUGAAAGCCUCUUAAGCCAGAAGCCCAUCUAGAAAGUGAUGCACGUGAUGUUGGACCGAUACGAAUAAUCAUACUCAAAAGGUCCGCUUCAUAGGUAACCCAAUGUAGAAGACAUUGUGUGAACGAAGGUACUGUAAGCAGUGGAGUGGCAUUACGUCCACGACCUGUUGAGGUUCAGCUUCGCUUCUAGGUUUCC
rnacentral:ncRNA from 1 species